rnacentral:rRNA from 1 species
CAAGGUUUCCGUAGGUGAACCUGCGGAAGGAUCAUUAACGAAAUUGAUUAUUCAUCUUUUUCUGUGAACUUAUUCCUUCAAUUUUGAAGGAUAUUUUGCUUCGGGGUUAGGCCCUAGGUCAGACCCCGGCGAUAAAAACUCUAACAAGAUUUUUUUGUCUAAAACUAUUGAAAAAUUAAUAAAUUAAAACUUUCAACAACGGAUCUCUAGGUUCUCGCAUCGAUGAAGAACGCAGCGAAAUGCGAUACGUAUUGUGAAUUGCAGAUUUUUGUGAAUCAUCGAAUCUUUGAACGCACAUUGCGCCUGGUGGUAUUCCGCCAGGCAUGCCUGUUUGAGCGUCAUUUCUCUCUCACUAUCCAGUGGUUUUGCUGAUAAUCUUCUCGCAAGAGAAGUUCGGUAAAAGGAAAUGGCAAGGCUUUGACUUUGGAAACGUGUUUUAGGUUCUACCAACUACAUUAGUACCAAAUUGUCAACCAAGUCGGCUUGAUAAUUUCUUUCAAUGUUGACCUCAAAUCAGGUAAGACUACCCGCUGAACUUAAGCAUAUCAA